UACGUAGGUGGCAAGCGUUGUCCGGAUUUACUGGGCGUAAAGAGCGCGCAGGCGGUCGUUCAAGUCGAGUGUGAAAGCCCCCGGCUCAACUGGGGGAGGAUCACUCGAUACUGAUCGACUCGAAGGCAGGAGAGGGAAGUGGAAUUCCCGGUGUGGUGGUGAAAUGCGUAGAUAUCGGGGAGGAACACCAGUGGCGAAGGCGACUUCCCUGGCCUGUUUCUUGACGCUGAGGCGCGAAAGGCUAGGGGGAGCAAAACGGGG
rnacentral:rRNA from 1 species